CAAUAGCGUAUAUUAAAGUUGUUGCAGUUAAAAAGCUCGUAGUUGGAUUUGUGGCGUACGGUGUGUUCCGGGCACUUGUUGUCUGAGUAACCUGCUGUUGCCAUCCUUGGGUGGAACCUGUGUGGCAUUAGGUUGUCGUGCAGGGGAUGCCCAUCAUUUACUGUGAAAAAAUUAGAGUGUUCAAAGCAGGCUUAUGCCGUUGAAUAUAUUAGCAUGGAAUAAUGAGAUAGGACUUUUUUGCUAUUUUGUUGGUUUGCGCAAGGAGGUAAUGAUUAAUAGGGACAGUUGGGGAUAUUCGUAUUCCAUUGUCAGAGGUGAAAUUCUUGGAUUUUUGGAAGACGAACUACUGCGAAAGCAUUUACCAAGGAUGUUUUCAUUAA
rnacentral:rRNA from 1 species